AAAGUGAUCUUUAUUUGACAUUAAUACAUGUAGAGAUGGUGUCACCACAGUGGUUCUACUUGACCUUUGAAACUAGAACUCACAUUCACCUGUCGCUCCUCUUCCUGGGUCCUCAUGGUCUCCACAGAGCCAGUAUAGUAGAAGGUCUUCUCCUGUCUCAUUCAGUCCUUGGUGCCACUCUAGCAGGAGGUGGAGCUUGACAGGCAGCACAUCAGAAACAAUCCGUCAACACAACAGCUUUUAGACUCUUGAUUGUUGCUGCUUGACAACAUCUGAUUGUUCCAGUAUUAGCUAUGCAGAUCUUCAUGUUAGUGGUUUUAUUCACUGGGUUUACUGGUGACAGUCAUCAGCAAACCAUCCACUCAAUCCAGGACAGUCCAGUCCAGGCUCUACAAGGAGACGGCGUGACUCUCUCCUGCAACUACUCUUCAGCAACAGACUUCUUCUGGUAUCGGCAGUACCCCAGCUCACCUCCCCAGUUCCUUAUCAAAGAUUACAUGGAGCUAUCUGGAUUUACCUUGAAAAAGGACAGUGAUAAAAAAAUGUUCCAUCUGGAGAUCUCCGCUGCUGCCGUGACAGACUCUGCUCUGUACUACUGUGCUGUGCAGCCCACAGUGACAGGAAACACAGACUCCCUGUACAAAAACCUGACAAGGAACUUGAAGAGCAUUUGUCAUUACCUUAAACUGUGGUUCAGGGGAGGCGCAUCUGGAGAGGUGAAUUCACACCAGGAGUCUAGUGAAUAAACAGUAUUUUACAACAGAGAUACAGAGGUAGCAUGUUGAGCUCCAGGGUUCCCAUGUCGUUUGAAAUUAUGUCAGUCCUCUUUUCAAGUCACAGCCCACCAGAAAUUCUAAAGAUUAAAGGGAACUUGUAUAGCCAUGGCAACAUGUUUACAUAUUAACCUUAUCUUUACAGGUGUCUACAGUGGACCUCACUCCUGUCAAGCAGAAAGAGAACAGAUUAGUCGGUACAAGUGUUUCUCUGUCCUACACGCUCUCUAAAAUUGCUACAGGGAGCGAUUAUUUCUUCUGGUACCGUCAGUAUCCUGUAGAACCUCCACAGUUCCUGCUGUACAUCUCAGGGUUUGGUAUCAACAGGACAGCUGAGUCUCUUGGUUCAGACAAAAGGUUUUCUACUGAACUGACUGAAGA